rnacentral:rRNA from 1 species
GACGAACGCUGGCGGCGUGCUUAACACAUGCAAGUCGAACGCUGAAGACCUGGCUUUUGUUGGGUUGGAUGAGUGGCGAACGGGUGAGUAACACGUGAGUAACCUGCCCUCUUCUUUGGGAUAACUCCCGGAAACGGGUGCUAAUACUGGAUAUUCACUUAUCUUCGCUUGGGGGUUGGUGGAAGGGUUUGUUCUGGUGGGGUAUGGGCUCGUGGGCUAUUAGCUUGUUGGUGGGUUGAUGGACUACAAAGGCUUUGACGGGUAGCUGGCCUGAGUGGGUGACCGGUGACCUUGGGACUGGGAUACGGUCCAGACUGCGACGGGAGGCAGCAGUGGGGAAUAUUGCACAAUGGGCGAAAGCAUGAUGCAGGGACGAGGCGUGAGGGAUGGAGGCCUGCGGGUUGUAGACCUCUGUCGCUCAUGGUCAAGCCGCAACUGUGGGUUGUGGUGAGGGUAGUGGGUAAAGAAGCGCCGGCUAACUACGUG